UUCAGCCUUGGUUAUGUAACAGAUGAGCUGUAAACAUCUGAAUAGGAGCCAGACCUCUGACUACCACAUCUCUCCUUUGUGUUAAGCCUGAACGUCUGUCUGGACGCCAGUCAACACUCUGUGGUCUGGAAGGUUGCCAGUCAGAUCUGUGCACAUCCAAUCAUUGGCAGUUCACUUUUCUUCAGGCACUUCUCUGAGCAUCCUGAAUCAGGAUGGUCCUAACAGAUACAUAUGCCUGCUGCUAUUCCCAUAGCUUUGGAUUGACCCCGGGGUUGAUGCUUAUCGCUCUAGAUUGAGUUCUAGUUGAGUUCAGGGAGGGGGGUAAUAAACGGAGCCAGUGUUUGACUCCAGUAAAAGGUCAUGUCUCUACUAGCUACUCUCAUUGUUUAUCUUUCCAUCUCCGUAUUUUUAGACUCAGGAAAUGUGCUGCUGCUAUCUUUUUCAUUUGAACAAAUGAUCUACUGUGAUUUAUACUGUGGGCUAAAUGAGGAUUGCACAGCCACAUAGAAUAUAGGCCUGACAGCCCUAGAUUUACUCUCUGAAUUUGCUGUCUCUUUCUAGCAAGGCAUGACAGCAGUUUAUUUGUCAUAUACACAUAACAGUGUAGGGGACAGUCCAUCUGCUCCAUUUGAACUAGACCGUAGUCUGUAAAGACCAGGCCUGGUUCUAUGUUCCCCAGCAGAACCAGACAUCUAUAAAGACCAGGCCGGGUUAUGUUCCCAGCAGAACAGACAGUCUGUAAAGACCAGGCCUGGGUUCUGUGUUUCCCAGCAGAACAGACAGUCUGUAAAGACCAGGCCUGGUUUCUGUGUUUCCCAGCAGAAACAGACAGUCGGUAAAAGACCAGGCCUGGUUCUAUGUUCCCCAGCAGAACAGACAGUCUGUAAAGACCAGGCCUGGUUCUAUGUUUCCCAGCAGAACAGACAGUCUGUAAAGACCAGGCCUGGUUUCUGUGUUUCCCAGCAGAACAGACUGUGUGUGUUUUGUCAAGCCGUGACUGAUGUAUGAUUUUGGCUCCUUGACAUCCAGUUCCUUUCCUCCCGCUCUGCUGUACUAAAUUUUAUAUGAGUUCCUCCUCCUUUGAUUUUUCAGAUGUCUGCCUUGAUUCAAUCUUCACAGUCAAUGAAAUGAACAGAGAGGGGGGAAAUAACGCUCACAAGCCCCAAAUGGAAUUGAAUAUGGAACAUGUUGUGUUACCUACUAUCAUUAGAGUUGAAUAUGGAACAUGUUGUCUAUAGAGUUGUGUUACCUAUCAUUAGAGUUGAAUAUGGAACAUGUUGUGUUACCCAUCAUUAGAGUUGAAUAUGGAACAUGUUGUGUUACCUAUCAUUAGAAUUGAAUAUGGAACAUGUUGUCUAUAGAGUUGUGUUACCAAUCAUUAGAGUUGAAUAUGGAACAUGUUGUCUAUAGAGUUGUGUUACCUAUCAUUAGAGUUGAAUAUGGAACAUUUGUGUUACUCAUCAUUAGAGUUGAAUAGGAACAUGUUGUGUUACCCAUCAUUAGAGUUGAAUAUGGAACAUGUUGUGUUAACCAUCAUUUGAAUUGAAUAUGGAACAUGUUGUGUUACCCAUCAUUGAGUUGAAUAUGGAACAUGUUGUGUUACCCAUCAUUAGAAUUGAAUAUGGAACAUGUUGUGUUACCCAUCAUUAGAGUUGAAUAUGGAACAUGUUGUGUUACCCAUCAUUAGAGUUGAAUAGGGAAAAUGUUGUGUUACCCAUCAUUAGAAUUGAAUAUGGAACAUGUUGUGUUACUCAUCAUUAGAGUUGAAUAUGGAACAUGUUGUGUUACCCAUCAUUAGAAUUGAAUAUGGAACAUGUUU
rnacentral:lncRNA from 1 species